rnacentral:lncRNA from 1 species
CCUCACACAGAUGAAAGCAUCGAGUUUCAAAAGGCUAGAAAAGAUGGCUGCUCUCAGAACAACAACAAGGAACUUGACAUUCCAAUGCAGGCAGAUAGAACAGUACCUGUAGUCUCACCAUCGGUUUCAACUGAUAACAUCUCAAGGCCUGAGGAUGUCAAUCCCAUGAUAAAGCACCUGUCAAAGCUGUGUGAUGAAACAAAAACCGGUGUCAGUGAAAGUGAGCCAGUCUACAAGGCAGAUGAUAAAGGAUGCCCCUCAAACCCAGUCCAAAGUGACACAGACAGUUAUCUUGCUGAGCUAUCAGGGCCUGAAACCAGGUCUGUUUAUGGUGUAGACAGCGACCCUUUGGCUUUGAAACCAAAAGAUAGACUGCUGGAACAGAAUCUGUGUAUUUCUGAAGUGACUGAAUCCCAGACAUCAGAUAAACACAUGGACAGCCAGGGAUAUGCUACAUCUCAGUCCAAAGAAGUCAAAGACCACCAGAAUGCCGCACCUGAAUUUCUCCACAAAGUUUCACAAAAGGAAAGUCAAACAACUGCAGAGAGGCUUUCAGAAGACAAAACUGCAAACUCAAAUCCACAAGACACAGUUGUGUUUUACGACAAAACGACCAUUACAGAAGAAAUGAUUGAUUCCCAACUAAGCCCAUGCCACCAAACCGUUCAUGAGGAGCCUGAAACCAGCUUUGAUACUGCGAGUGCCACAAUAACUUCAGAUACACUCCUUCAUGAGUCCAAAGAUCAGUUCUCUCCACCUGAAUUGAUUUGUGAACAUUCACAAAGCCAGGUAUCCCAAGUGGGCGGCUCAACUGAAACAAGCCUCUACAAUGUGGUCAACAAGCUGGAAUCUAAAGAGUUGCCUCUUGUUGAUCAGACCACUUCAGUGACUGCAGUUGACACAGUGGAGGUCAUAUCAGAAAAUAACGAUCAAAACAAUGAUUCAGAACCACUGAAAUCUCAACAGAUUGAAAUGGGUGUUUCUACUGAAGAAGCCAAGAUCACAAACCCAGAACAAGAUCCUUCUUCUCCUGGGUCUACAACAGCAAAUUACCAAUCAGAUGUUGACCAGAAGAGCAUUCCAGUGGUAGAUGCUUCAAACGAUCCUGGAAAUAAAAGAUAUGAGUCGUCCUUUGCGUGGGACACAUUUAUGAAAGGGAAAAAGAUGCCACAUACAACACCGUUAAGAACUGAGCUGUGGUCCUCUGGAUUUCAUGAGCUUGUUUCUCCAUUUUGUGCUCCCAUAUUUAUGAAGAAUAAAUUGCCAAAAACAGCCAUAAUGAAGACUCCUGACAGACUGGAAACCCCAAGCAAGCGUCAAGGAGAGUGGAAUGCUAUCAAGCAGUCUUUUUCUGAAAUGUUAACAGAGAAAGAGAAUCAAGUUCUUAUCUCCUACAGCUCGACUCUGAGUGGCAGUCCAACCUCUUCUUCUGUGGGUAAUGGGCUGCGACAAAACUCCACUCCUACCGGUCCUCCUCCCAAACUCCAGAGCGUGGAGAAACCGACCCGGCCAAUGGCAUCUAGUUCUGAAAGAAAAGAAGAACGAAAACAAUCUGACAUAAUGGCCCAAAUUGCAAAAAUUGAGGAAUUUAUGUCAACUGAAGGUUUAAUACCUCAAAAAAGACUCAAAACUGAUUGAUACGUGCUAG